CCGAGUUUACAACUCCCAAACCCCUGUGAACAUACCACUUGUUGCCUCGGCGGAUCAGCCCGCUCCCGGUAAAACGGGACGGCCCGCCAGAGGACCCCUAAACUCUGUUUCUAUAUGUAACUUCUGAGUAAAAACCAUAAAUAAAUCA
rnacentral:misc_RNA from 1 species